UCAAGCAGAAAAAAUUAGGAUCAAAAACAAAAUCGAGGAAGCUUGGGAGCUGCAACUUGAACACAGUCGUCAAACGUAUUUAUUCACAUUCUCUAAUACUCUUCACUCUAUAUAAACUUUCCACUUCUGAACCAGUUGACAAGAUGACUAACGAAUGUCUUAUUGCUAAACAGAGCUUAAAGUUGAUGUUUCUGAUUCUAUUUGUGACUAUGGCAGUUGCAAAUCCAUCGAGAAAGGAUGAUACCCACCUGGUGAUGGAAUUAGUGAAUGAGUUUUUCCGUCAGUUGUUUCCUUUGUUUCCAACCAAAACGCAAUACGUUUGGGAAAUCACUCAGCAAGAACCGGUCCUUCCCCUGAAACAUUACAACGUCCCUUAUAAAUCCAACAUUAAUGAUCAAGGCUUUCCUAGCGUUGCUCAACCUUGGAGUGUAGAGGCGGACUUUCGCAAGCGAGGUCCAGAAUGUAUGAAGAAAUGCAUUGCAGAAGGCAUUCUUCACCCUGUCCAAUGCCAUUCAUUAUGUUAGAAAAGCCAGUCAAGUAUUAUCUUACAUGACCUCAGUGUUUCCCUUUCUUCCGUGUACUGAUGAAGAGUUAAUCUUGAAGCGCUUCUUCUCUUUGAAUCAAAAACUUCAACAGAAGAAUCGAAGGCGCCAAACCAGAUGUGUUUUCUGAACCUUUUAUCUAUAAACAUUCUAUUCAAAAAACAUAACAACAAAAAGGUCAUCUAACAUUUGUCUCUUUGACCGUAUUCUAUUUCUUGAAACCUAUAUUCUAGUGUGCAUUUGAAAGAUCUAUAAGUAACGUGAUUGUUUUGUAUUAACCAAAAAUAUGUACUUACUUGUACGGUAUUUGGUUGUGAAUUCACCCAAUGAAUAACUCUGACGAGUUCAUUGCAUUGGUUUAUGCUUGUGUGAAA